UAGAGCAGAGUGACGAGGAAGAGGACUGUGAAGGUGAGCCACAGGCGGCCCGCGUCCUCCAGGUCCACGUAGUCAUCGCUGCCCUCGUCCUGGCUGCCUGGGGUCAAGGUGGCCAGACCUGGGGAGGAGCCAGUGCCAGUCAGAAGGUCGGCCCUGUGCCCACGCUGGCACAUGCAAGGGGCGCUGCCCGGGGCGCUCCCACUAUCCUGGGCAGUGUGUGCCUACGGGCUUCUCCCUGCCAGGCUGUGCUGGGCCCUACGGGUCUCAGCGCCCAGAGGGGCAGCUGGACCAGAAGCAAACUCGCUCACACGGAAGCCUUCAUGCCAGUGUGAUGUGGCGUCAGGGGGUGGUGCCGCUGACGCUGGUGUGGACACACGGGACCAGGUGGCUGCUGGGUGAGGGCAGAAAGACAAGACGGUGCCAGCCAGGCGGGCGGCAGGGUGGGGGGCAGCAUCAUGACUGCCUGUGUCUGCAGCGUCAGCUGGGUCCGGGUCGACUGGUGACCUUUCCCAAGAACAAGGUUCGUUCAGCAAAGUGGAUCAAAAUGUCAUUCCUGGGAGUUCCCUGGUGGUCCAGCGGUUAGGACUCGGGGCUUUCGCCCCGUGGCCGAGAAAGAAAAACAAAGUCAGUCCUGCGGGAGCUUCGAGUUGGGGGCCAGGACAGGCAGGGUGCUGCUGUCCAGGCCCAGGACCACCCGCUUCUGCGGGGAGCACCCUGGAAUCCGGCAGGACGCCCGUGAGCAGAGGUAGGAGCGCGGAGUCCUGGGGCCCGUCCCACAUCCCGGAACGUCCUCGUCAUUCUUUCCAGGAGCAUCUGAGGCGGGGCUACCUCGUGCUUGACCAGAGCUACCCGAAGUGGGUCUGCCGGUGCUGCCGGCCAGGAACCGGGGUCACAGGGCAUGGGACAUAGGUAUGGGAGCCGCGUGCUCUGGAAACGUUUUACAGCAGCUGUUAAUCUAAUAAUAAACAUCAGCACAUCUUUGUCUCUGCCUCAUUUCCUAGUGAUUAGUCGCUAUUGCAGUCUACACGGGUACAGGCCGAUGACUAAUUGGAAAAAUUUGAAAAGGCCGCUGUCUUCUGCAGCAGAGAACUUGAAGGGGCCUGCUCUAGACACUCGGAAUGCAGCGGUGUCUCCUUCGCAUGUCUCAGAAGCACUGGCUGGUGUGCUGGGCAGAGAGCAGCAAGUGGACUUGCAGGGAGCGAGCGGGCGCACACUGUCCUCUCUUGGGCUGGGGGUGAGGGUUCAUCGUUUUCGCCAGGAGCGGAGUCGGGCUGUGGGGCGGGAUCCUCGGUUCCCGGCUCUAAGUGUUUGGGUGGGGCUUUGGGCUCUAAGCCUCAGGCGAGGCUGGAGCUCUCUUGCUGGCUUUCCAUUCUGCUCCUAGCCGCUGCUGGAUCAGCAGAGGUCCUGGGGGGCAGGGGAUCAGCGGGUGAAGGGGCUUUUCUGGGGCUCGUCCGAGUCUCCCCUGCCCCAGGGCAGCCCAUGAAGGUGCCGCAUCUCGGCUGAUUCCCUCAGGCUCCUCUCUCGUGGAUGCCCAGGGCUCUGUCCACCGGUGCUGGGGAGGAGGCGAAACUACCAGGCCAGGAAUUUAGGUCAGUUGGGCUUCUGUGAGUCCUUAGCUCUUCAGUGGCUUUAAAUGAAUAUGACUUUCACAAUUUUCUUGGUGGUGUCCUUUUGGUACUGCGCGAGUGGCUGUCUCAGUAUCUUUUACAUCCUAAGUGGAAGCAGGCCCUGAGG
rnacentral:lncRNA from 1 species